rnacentral:rRNA from 1 species
GACGAACGCUGGCGGCGUGCCUAAUACAUGCAAGUCGAACGAAGCUUUCUUUCACCGAAUGCUUGCAUUCACCGAAAGAAGCUUAGUGGCGAACGGGUGAGUAACACGUAGGCAACCUGCCCAAAAGAGGGGGAUAACACUUGGAAACAGGUGCUAAUACCGCAUAACCAUGAACACCGCAUGAUGUUCAUGUAAAAGACGGCUUUUGCUGUCGCUUUUGGAUGGGCCUGCGGCGUAUUAACUUGUUGGUGGGGUAACGGCCUACCAAGGUGAUGAUACGUAGCCGAACUGAGAGGUUGAUCGGCCACAUUGGGACUGAGACACGGCCCAAACUCCUACGGGAGGCAGCAGUAGGGAAUCUUCCACAAUGGACGAAAGUCUGAUGGAGCAACGCCGCGUGAAUGAAGAAGGCCUUCGGGUCGUAAAAUUCUGUUGUCAGAGAAGAACGUGCGUGAGAGUAACUGUUCACGUAUUGACGGUAUCUGACCAGAAAGCCACGGCUAACUACGUGCCAGCAGCCGCGGUAAUA